rnacentral:rRNA from 1 species
UAAUGUCUGGGAAACUGCCUGAUGGAGGGGGAUAACUACUGGAAACGGUAGCUAAUACCGCAUAACGUCGCAAGACCAAAGAGGGGGACCUUCGGGCCUCUUGCCAUCGGAUGUGCCCAGAUGGGAUUAGCUAGUAGGUGGGGUAAAGGCUCACCUAGGCGACGAUCCCUAGCUGGUCUGAGAGGAUGACCAGCCACACUGGAACUGAGACACGGUCCAGACUCCUACGGGAGGCAGCAUG